UUGUUAUAAGAAAGAUGAGACAGUUAAUACUCCCCUUUAGAGUGAAUGGGAAAGGUCCUACCUAGUGCCUUUAUAACAACAUUAGGUUAGGGCAUUGCCACACAUUCUGUGGCAUUUAACCAUGUUUU
ensembl:snRNA